rnacentral:rRNA from 1 species
AAUAUUGGACAAUGUUCGAAAGCCUGAUCCAGCCAUGCCGCGAGUGUGAAGAAGGUCUUCGGAUUGUAAAGCACGUUAAGUUGGGAGGAAGGUGUGUAGAUUAAUACUCUGCAAUUUUGACGUUACCAACAGAAUAAGUACCUGCUAACUUCCUGCCUGCAGCCGCGGUAAUACGAAGCGUGCAAGCGUUAAUCGGAACUACUGGGCGUAAAGCGCGAGUAGGUGGUUUGUAAAGUUGGAAGUGAAAGCCCCGGGCUCAACCGGGGAACUGCUUUCAAAACUGGCAGGCUAGAGUAUGGCAGAGGGUGGUGGAAUUUCCUGUGUAGCGGUGAAAUGCGUAGAUAUAGGAAGGAACACCAGUGGCGAAGGCGACUACCUGGACUGAUACUGACACUGAGGUGCGAAAGCGUGGAGAGCAAAC